rnacentral:rRNA from 1 species
UACGUAGGGGACAAGCGUUGUCCGGAUUUACGGGGCGUAAAGAGCGCGCAGGCGGUCGUUCAAGUCGAGUGUGAAAGCCCCCGGCUCAACUGGGGAGGGUCAUUCGAUACUGAUCGACUCGAAGGCAGGAGAGGGUAGUGGAAUUCCCGGUGUAGUGGUGAAAUGCGUAGAUAUCGGGAGGAACACCAGUGGCGAAGGCGACUACCUGGCCUGUUCUUGACGCUGAGGCGCGAAAGCCAGGGGAGCAAACGGG